rnacentral:rRNA from 1 species
AGCGAACGCUGGCGGCGUGCCUAACACAUGCAAGUCGAACGUGAAAGGGAGCAAUCCCAAGUAAAGUGGCGUACGGGUGAGUAACACGUAGGUAAUCUACCCCAGAAUCUGGAAUAACCGGCCGAAAGGCUGGCUAAUACUGGAUAGAGCGACGGAACCCGUAAUUGGGUUUUUCGGGAAAGGGAGCCUGUAAAAAGGCCUUCGUUCUGGGAUGAGCCUGCGUCCCAUCAGCUAGUUGGUGAGGUAAAAGCUUACCAAGGCAAUGACGGGUAGCUGGUCUGAGAGGACGAUCAGCCACACUGGAACUGAAACACGGUCCAGACUCCUACGGGAGGCAGCAGUGGGGAAUCUUGCGCAAUGGACGAAAGUCUGACGCAGCAACGCCGCGUGAGUGAAGAAGGCCUUCGGGUUGUAAAGCUCUGUCGAGUGGGACGAAAAUGCUUGGAGUUCACAGCUCCAGGAACUGACGGUACCACUAAAGGAAGCACCGGCUAACUCCGUG